GGAAGGAAGCAGCACUGCGUCAAAGAGAGGCUGCGCUUAAGGCUGCAAAACAAACUAAAGAUGGGAGAGAUGAAGAAAUUGCAGCCCUUCGCACCGAACUUGAGAGCUUGAAAGGAGGNNNNNNNNNNNNGCAGCUGUGGAACAGUUCCAAGAAGCAGAAGCUGAAGCUAAAGCUCUUCGCACAAUGACACAGAGAAUGAUUUUGACUCAGGAAGAGAUGGAGGAAGUUGUCUUGAAGAGAUGUUGGCUUGCUCGC
rnacentral:misc_RNA from 1 species